rnacentral:lncRNA from 1 species
GACCCUACAAGAGUAGUUUGGCUCUGUAGGGGAUGUUGGGAGUGGGGUGGGGUAGUGCCCACUAGGUGCCCUCACCACUCAGAGGGCCUGUCUUGUUCACCCUGACAGCUCUGACUAUCCACCUCUGUAAGAGCCUGCAAGCCCCCACAGGUGCUCCCUACAAAGCCUUAAAUUUGGCCAGCCGCGUGGUUACUGUGAUCUGCCAUGAGCAAAGGUCAGAGGGACCAGAUUUCAGCAGAGACCAACAACACAACUAUCAUCAAAGUCCAGACUCUACUGGGAGGAGACAAGCCAGCUCCCAUAUUGCCAUCUGGACCAACCUGUGGCUCCUGAUUUUUCUGCCUCAGGUGAGAACCAGAAAAAAAAGCAGAGCUUGGGGCUGGGUAGGGGGAAUAUGCCAGAGCAGGGGCUUCUAGUGCCAGGUAGCCUCUGGAUUUGAUCCAGAAUAAAAAUGACUCACAGGCUUGUAGUUUGUACUAGUUUGCAAGUGUGCACACACACAUGCGUGCUAUAACUACAGCACCAAAGUUAAGGAGUUUCAUGUGUCUCCCCAGCUCCCUCAGAGAAGAUCUCAAAGGUCUAGGAAUUGGAUUUCAGAUAAGACCCGGUUUCAGGCUUCGGCAACCACCAUCUAUGGUACCUCUUGCUUUGUUUUGUACCUAGACUGUAGCUCCCCAAGCCUUCUCUGCCGGGCUCCUGUUUAGGAUUGUGGGUAAGAGACCAGGCUCAAAGGGGUUCCUUUCCACCCCCUCUCCUACUCCUGCCUUCCGCCCCCUGCUGGCCACUGCCCUUUCCUGCUCCAAGCUGAGGGCAGUUCAGGGUGAGGAGGCGGUGCUUGCUCCUUACAGGGCUGGGAGAUCCCCAGCUGGAAACCAGUUAGCUAUUUAUAACUGAGUCUAACUGAAGGGGAAGGCCUGAGAGGAGGUGUGGAGCUUCUGCAGGCUGCUACAGCAUUUGCAAGAACCCCAGGCUUCUGCUUAGGCUGGCCUUUUGUUCUUUUCUGGGUGAGGGUACUUUGAGCCUCUGAAAGCUCUAUGAAGCUUAAGGAUCCCAGGCUGUUUUCUGACCUAAAAAAUAGGACACGUACUCCAGUUGCCCUGCACUGGGCAUUUAGGCCCUUCUCAUGGGGAGUAUUGAAAACUGGAAUUGGUAAAAUGAGACUUUUUUUUUCGGGUGGGGGUGGGAAUACCAUGUGAUGCACAAUAAGAUGGUCUCUGAUAUUUCCAUGCAUUUUUCUUAUUGUAUUCCUAUGCUUGCCUUCUCAACCAAAUUAUAUACUCUAUAGAAAUAAAGAGAGAGGAACUAAAUCUCUUGCUAAUGGUACCAACCUCUCCUUACCAAGACUGGGUUGGGUGCAACUUUUGUUUCCUAACCCUACAAAACCUUUCCAUUGCCUUUUGCUUUUGCUUGCCUGGUUUUGCUACUAUUUGGUGACUUCUUAUUGAUAUGGACUUAUCUGCCUUCUUGAUAAUCCCAUUGUGGCAUAGUAAACAAUUGUUGAAUGACUGAAUAUGAAUCAGUGAUGGCUAAUUCUGCUUGUGGAAUGCUUGAAACAUACUUAAUUGUCACAGUUUUUCUUUAGUAUCGGGGGUUGAACUCGGGGGUACUCAACCACUAAGCCACAUCCCCAGCCCUAUUUUGUAUUUUAUUUAAAGACGGAGUCUCACUGACUUGCUUAGCACCUCACUGUUGCUGAGGCUGGAUUUGAACUCGAAAUCCUCCUGCCUCAGCCUUCCGAGCCACUGGGAUUACAGGUGUGUGCCUAACCAGCUCAUUGUCACAUUUAAUCAGUGUUUUAUAGGUUGGAAAAUAAACUUGGCUGGGUGUAGUGCCAAACAUCUGUAAUCCCAGUGAUUUAGUAGAUUGAGGCAGUAGGAUCACAACUUCAAAGCCAGCAAUUUAGCAAGACCCUAAGCAAUGUAGUGAGACCCUGUCCCAAAAGAAAGAAAAUAAGCUGGCUGUGGUGGCACAUUCUUGUAAUCCCAGCAAUCUGGGAAACUGGGGCAGGAAGAUCGCAAGUUCAAGACCAGCCUCAGCAAUUUAGCAAGGCCCUAAGCAAUUUAGCGAGACUCUCUCAAAAUAAAAAAGCAAAAGGGCUGGAUCUGUGACUUAGUGCCCCUGGGUUCAAUGGCCAGUACCAUAAGAAAAAAAGAUUAGCUUUGGUCAUUAUUUUUAAGUGCCUUCACCCAGAUCUUUUUUUCUUUUCCUUUGGUGAUAGUGGGGAUUGAACCCAGGGCCUCAUGCAUUUUAGGCAAGUGCUUUACCACUGUACUACAUCCCUGAGCCUUUUUAAAAAAUUUUUUGAGACAGGGUCUCACAGAGUUGCCCUGACUGUCAUGGAACUUGUGAUCCUCUGCAUCAGCCUCCUGAGUAGCUGGUUAGAUCUUAAGUGGAGCUGUGAUAAGACCUGGUGUCCGACUUCAGAGUAGUUCUUAGGAGGAGGCUGCCUCCGUGCUGGCAUCCAGUCAGAACCUGGUACCUGUGACUGCACAGCAGCCAGGUAGGUGAGGAGGGACACAUGGGGUAUUUGGCUGGGUUCUGCUGGGAAACUGAGGCAACACAGAGACCUUCUUCAAACCCCAGUUCUUGUGAUCAAAUCAGAAAGAUUUCAGAUAUGUUGCUUAGAGUGACAGGCAUGAGUUUAUUAGAAUGGAUAGGAAUGGGGCUGACGAUAUAGCUCAGUUGGUAGAGUGUUUGCCUUGCAUGCACAGGCCCUGGGUUCAGUCCCUAGCAUCACACAAAAAACAGGGAUAGGAAUGGGGAAAAGGAGAAGGACAGUGCACUUCUCCUGCCUUCCAGUUUUUUUCCUCCACAUUUUUUAAAAUUGGUACAUUAUAGUUGUAUAUAAUGAUGGGAUUUGUUGUUACAUAUUUGUACAUGUAUAAUAUAACUAUAUAAUUUGGCUAAUAUCCUUCCCAGCACUUCUUCCCUCCCUCCCUUCUACCCCGCCUUUGUCCUUUUCCCCCAUUCUAUUAAUCUCCUUUGCUUUUCAUGCAUGGCUUCCCACCUUUCUUUUUCUUUUUUCUCUCUGGCAUCCACAAAUGAGAGAAAACAUACAAUGCUUGACCUUCUGAGUUUCUGCCCUCCAGUUUUAUUGAGGGUCCCAGGGAGGUUUCCAGAGAGUCCUGCCCAGGUGCGCUGCUUGGCUUUUUUUUUUUUUUUUUUUUUUGUAGCCAUAGAUGUGUUACCGCUGCUUGCUUCCCUGAAUGCUGAAGUAUAAUACCAGAGAAGCACGCCGAGGCAAGUUUAGAGUGGAAAGUGGAAGCUUUAUUAAAGGACAGCAGAAAAGACUUCUCUCCAGAGGAAGAAGGGGACCCAAAAGGCGGAACCCGUGGAAGGGGGAGGUCUUCCCUUUUUUAUAACUAAGGUCUUCUUUCAGCUUUCCCACACUCCUGUCCUUUGUUUCCCUUUAUCUUUCAGUGAAAGAAUGCAGGUGGGAAGGCCCCAAAAGGUGGGAGAUAGGUGGGCUGGAGGAUUAAUCUGGGCAGGAAGGGUCUGGGGUGGCUUUUGAUUAGCAUUUCCCUGUUUGCUGGGAGCUGUUUCAUUAACAGUUCCUUAGAAUGGGUUCCGGGCCUUGGGGACAUUAACAUUUCAAUUUCCACAAGUGCUGCUUUGGUUUCCUGGACUCCAUUCUCUAUAAUGGCCUCCAUUUUAUUUAUCUUACUUGGUAUUAGACCCGAUUUACCUAACUACACUAACUACCUAUCUGUAAAUCUGGCCUCUUGGUUUGUUUAAUUUUAUGUGGUGCUAAGGAUCAAACCCAGUGCCUCACUCUUGUGGACAAGUGCUCUGCCACUGAGCUACAGCCCCAGCCUGCUACCACUUGACUUUUGACUGACAGCAGGAUGACAUCAGGUUUUCAAGUCCCUACUGCCAUUACCACUCUAAGUGACUUUGGCCCAUGCUGACCCUGCUGGAACCUGUUCUUACAGAUUUUAUGGUUAGGGGGAAUUAUCCUUAUCUACCCGAGUUCCAGGUGUAAGGGUCUCUCCUUCAGUGUAAUUUGUGUUUUUUUUUUUUUUUUUGUACCAGGGAUUAAACCCAGGGGUGCUAAAACAGUGAGUCAUAUCCCCAGCCCUUUUAAUACAUGUUUAUUUUGGGACACGGUCUUGCUAAGUUACUGAGUCUGGCUUUGAACUUGUGAUUCUCCUGCCUCAGCCUCUCAAGCCACUGGAAUUAUAGGCAUGCACCACCUUGCUCAGCUAAUUUGUGUUCUUAUCGUUGGCAUUUCAUGCCUACAUUUCAUGCCUACAUUUCUUCUGCAGAUAUCAGGUGGUUUGCUGAAGAAUGUAACAUAUCCUGUUGACUCAAGCCAGGCAGUACCACAGGUAAAUUGCUUUUCAAAAGAGAAAGAAUGUGGGGGUCAGCACAGUGGGCUGGGUUUUAUAGAAUUCUUCCCUUAACCUCAUGUUCCCACCCUCAGGUCUUUCUGUCCCCUAUCAGCAUGAGCCUCUCCCUGCCAAGCUUGCCUGUCUUGCGAUUAGUGUUCCCCGGCCUGGCUCAAUGACACAGAUACUUCAGACGGCCAGGAAAGCUGCCAGGGAAUCCUCCUCCUAAGAAGCUUAUGGAGAGAAAGACCUGCUCUCAUCUGCCAGUGGGAGGAUCCUGAGGUAGCUGCUGUUGAGGCUGGAGUCAGUGGUUGGGCUGGAGGGCUGAGCGACAGGUCACUGGGAUUACUGGCAUGUGUGGCCACACAUCCACCAGGCUAACACCUCUAUUUAAACUUGAGGGAAUGGAAAGAAAAGUUACAAAACAUGUUCAAGACCACAUAAGUAUGUGUAAGAAUUAAGAUCUUACCCUGGACUGCUGGCUCCAGAAUCCAGUUGUUAAUCCUGAAGUACUUUUAAAAGUAAACAGGAAGGGUAAAAGAAAGGUGUUAGGGACAGAAAGGGGGCUGCUCCCCUCUCCAAUCAUGGAAAUGCAAACGAAGAUGUAUUUCCACCAAAAAAAAAAAAAAAAGAUACUUGAAUAGUUAAUAAGCAUAUGAAAAGAUAAUGUCAUCAGAAAAAUGAAAAUCAAAAGCAGAAUGACACCAGCCAUGAACAAUUUGAAAAAGAGAUGAAAAUAAUUUAAUUUUCAAUACUAUCCAGAAGAAUAAAAUACUAGGAAUAAAUUUAAGCAAGGACAUAAAAGAUUUAUACACUGGAAACUAUAAAAUGUUGCUAAAAUAGAUUAAAGAAGUCCUAAAUAAACAGAGAGACGUCUUAAGUUCAUGGAUUGGAAGACUUAAUAUUAUUAAGAAUGGAAAUGCUAUCUAAAACAAUCUAUAGAUUCACUGAAAUCCCUAUCAAAAUUCCAAUGGCCUUUUUUGCAGAAAUGGUAAAGCCCAUCCUUAAAUUCAUAUGGAAUUAUAAGGAGCACUAAAUAGCUAAAACAGUACUGAAAAAGAAGAACAAAUUUGGAAGGCUUGCACUUGUUUUAAAACAAUGCAGUUGGGUGUGGGGUGCACACCUCUAAUCCCAGCUACUUGGGAGGCUAAGGAAGGAAAAUUGCAAGUUUCAAGCCAAUCUCAGCAAUAUAUGAAGACUUUGAGCAAUUUAAUGAGAACUUGUCUCAAAAAAAUAAAAAGGUAAGGCAUCCCUGGGAUCAUUCCCCGGUACCAACAACAACAAAAACCAUUUACUAUAAAACUACAUAAUUCAAAAUAAUAUACUGUUAUUAAGAUUAGAUAUAGACUGAUAGAAUAGAAUUCAGAGUUUAAAAACUAUCCCACAUGUCUGUGGCCAACUGAUUUUCUUCAGUAGUGUCAGGACCAUUUAAUGGUAAAAUAAUAGUCUCAUUAACAAAUGGUGCUGUGCCAUACAUAGUGGCCCAUCCUUGUAAUCCUAGCUAUUGAGGAGGCUGAGGCAGGAUGAUCAAAAGUUUGAGGUCAGUCUGAGCAAAUUAAUGAGACCUUGUUUCAAAAUAAAAAUCUGGAGAUGUAGCUUAGUGGUAGGAUGCUUUCCUAGCAUAUGCAAAGCACUGGGUUCAAUCCCUGGGAUCACAGAACAAAAACUGGGACUGGGACAACUGGGUAUUCAUAUGCAAAAGUAUGAAGUCAGACCCACCCUCCCAUCUCACACCACAUGUAAAACAAAUAAAUGAGCUAAAAGGUAAAAUUCUUAGAAGAAAAUAUAAAAGUAAAUCUUAAUGACUUUGAAAGUUGCCAAAGGAUUCUUAGAUAUGGCAAAAGAAAGAAAAAAGAUAAAUUGGAUUUCAUCAAAACAAAGUUUUAGCAUGGUGGUACAUGCCUGUAAUCCCAGCAGCUCUGGAGGCUGAGGUAGGAGGAUGGCGGGUUCAAAGCCUGCCUCAGAAAUUUAGCCAGGCACUAAGCAACUUAGUGAGACCCUGUCUUUAAAUAAAAUAUGAAAAAGGGUUGGGGAUAUGGGAGCGCCCCUGGGUUCAAUUCUUAGUACCAAAAAAUAAACAAAUAAAAUACAAAGUUUUGGGAUUGGAAUAUAGCUUAGUGGUAGAACACUUUCCUAGUAUGUGUGAGUCCCUAAAUUAAAUCCCCAGUAGAGCACAACAAAAUAAAUAAAAAGUUUUGUGCAUCAAAGGACAUAAUCAAGAAAGUAAAACAACUUACAGAAUGGGAGAAAAUAUUUCCAAAUCAUAUAUCUGGUGAAAUUCUAGUAUCCAGAAAUAUGUAAAGAAUUCUUAUAACUCAACAGCAAAAAGACAAACCAAUUAAGAACAAGGAAAGGACUUGAACAAACAUUUCUUUAUAGACAUACAAAUGGCCAACCCACAACAAACAAAACCAUUUAUACAAAGAUUUACAUGUGAAUUUUCAUGGUGGCAUGAGAAUUCUUCCAGCUAAAAACUAGAAACCACCUAAAUAUCCACCAAUGGAAGAGAUAAAAUGUGGUAUACAUACAAUGGUAUACUACUUCUCUGCUAUUUUAUUCAUAGUUCUGACACCAGAUAUGUGGGAUUUUGUUUCUAUACCAAAUAGUUCUCCAACUCUCCAAACACUAUUUGGGUUUCCUACCAUUCAAAUAAAUUCUGACACUCAUUUACCUAGAGUUAGGGCAGACCCCAUGGCUUUAAGGAUCAGUCCCAGAAGACUGCCUCUAUUUCAGAAGACAGGCACAACUCCCGGGUUGCCAACUAUACUUUUUUUUUGGUACCCUGGAUUGAACCCAGGAGUGAAUAACCACUGAGCCAUAUCCCCAGCCCUUUUUUUUUUAUAUUUUAUUUAGAGACAGGGCCUUGCUAAGUUGCUUAGGGCCUUGCUCAGUUUUUGAGCUGGUUUUGAACAUGGGAUCCUGCCUCAGCCUCCCAAGUUGCUGGAAUAACAGCUCUGUGCCAUGGUGCCCAGUCCAGCUAUACCUCUGAUUGACUCCUGGCUCUAAAUCAUGGGUUUCCAUGACCCCCUCCUCAGGUUGGAUAAUUUGCUAGAAUAGCUCACAGAACUCAUGAAAUUUGCUUACUGGUUUAUUAUAAAGGAAUACAACUCCUGGGUGAGGAGGUGUAGGCCUGUAAUCCCAGUGACUCAGGAAGCUGAGACAGGAGAAUGGUAAAUUUAAGGCCAGCCUCAGCAAUUUAAUAAAGACUGUCUCAAAGUAAAAAAUAAGGCUGGGGCUGUAGCUCAGUGGCAGAGCGCUUGCCUAGCAUGUGUAAUGCACUGGGUUCUAUCCUUAGCACCACAUAAAAAUAAACACAUAAAAUAAAGGCAUUCUGUCCAUCUACAACUAUAAAAAUAAAAGUUAAAAAAAAAAAAAGGAGUAGGGAUGUGGCUCAAUGGUAAAGUGCCCUGGGUUCAAUCCCAAGUACCAAAAAAGCAAUAAAAUUUAGGGGCAGCCAAUUGGAAGAGAUGCAUAAGGCCAGAUAUGGAAGGAAAUGGGGGUUUAGAACUUCCACACCCUCUCUGGGUAUGACCCCUCCCAGCAUUUUAAUGUGCUCUUCAUCAACUUGGAAGCUCUGAGAACUGUCUUUAGGAGAUUUUAGGGAGGUUUUGUUUUUGUUUUGUUUUUUUUUUUUCGGUACUGGGGAUUGAACCAUUGAGAUAUAUCCUAAGCACCUUCCCUUGUUUUUUUUUUUUUUUUGUACUGGGAGUUGAACUCAGAGGUACUUUACGACUGAGCUACAUCCCCACACCUUUUUAUUUUUAUUCUGAGACAGGGCCUUGCUAAAUUGCGUGCUAACCUCGAAUUUGCUAUCGUCCUGCCUUCCCUCCUGAGUUGCUGGGAUUACAGGCUGCACUACUGCACCCAGCAUCCUAAACCCUUUCAUUUUUAAUUUUGAGACAGAGUCUCACUAAGUUGCCCAGGC